rnacentral:tRNA from 1 species
GGGGAUGUGGCUCAGUGGUAAAGCACUUGCCUUGCAUGCAUGAGGCACUGGGUUCAAUCCUCAGCACCACA